rnacentral:siRNA from 1 species
AUAUAUUACUUUUGGUGCGAGAGA